rnacentral:rRNA from 1 species
AACGCGAAGAACCUUACCUGGGCUUGAACCGCACAGGACCAUCUUUGGAAACAGAGACUUCCCGCAAGGGGCUGCUAUAUAGGUGCUGCAUGGCUGUCGUCAGCUCGUGUCGUGAGAUGUUGGGUUAAGUCCCGCAACGAGCGCAACCCUUGUUACCAGUUGCUACCAUUUAGUUGAGCACUCUGGUGAGACCGCCUCGGAUAACGGGGAGGAAGGCGGGGAUGACGUCAAGUCCUCAUGGCCUUUAUGUCCAGGGCUACACACGUGCUACAAUGGCCGGUACAAACCGUUGCAAACCCGCGAGGGGGAGCUAAUCGGAAAAAGCCGGCCUCAGUUCGGAUUAGAGUCUGCAACUCGACUCUAUGAAGCUGGAAUCGCUAGUAAUCGCGGAUCAGAACGCCGCGGUGAAUACGUUCCCGGGCCUUGUACACACCGACUGUAC